UCAUUUUAUUUCUCUCCCCCCCAAUUCCCUUCUUUCCCGAUUCCACUUUCUUUCUCAACCAUUCUCAGCCUGUACUUCUAUUUCUCUCCCCCGAUUCCCUUUUCUUUCCCAAUUCUCUUUUCUUUCUCAGCCUUUCUCAACCUGUUCUUCUAUUUUAUACCCGAAAAACUCUAUUAGUCUCUCAUUUUUGUUUUUAAUAGGUAAGAGGUAAGCCUAAGCUCUCAUCUCUUCGACUUAGGGUUUAUUGUUUAUCCUCCUCCUGUCAAAUUGCUUUGAUUCCUUCCCAAAAUUUCAUCACUCUCACGCUUUUUAGUGGAUGACGACUUGAGUUCCAAUUAUGGUCUCAAGCAAAAGUUGUAUAAACACUGGUUGGGUGUCUACAAGACAUCUGGAGGCAAUGACUUCCACUCAUUUAAGCAGAGAUGGUUCUUCACUCUUGAACAUGUAUUUGUGAUGAAUGAGAUCUGUUCUUGACUGCGAAUGAGUUGAGAAGGAAAGAGGAUGCAAUAGCACGAGGGAUGCAUGGGACAUGGCUGCUGAAAUUUGCCUUUCUCAGCUUCCAUCAUUGGUUGAGGAUCGUAAUGCAGAGUUCCAGGUGUGUUUUUCUUCCAGAGUUAGAACUUACUUGGAGAAAUUUUAGUAAGUUCUUCAAAGUUGGUCAAGAAUUCUGGGUUUACGUCUGCUGCAUCGCCUUCGGUAGUCCUCCGCAUCGUCGUCGGCAGCCUUCUGCUACAUCUCCGUUGGCAUCCCUCUGCUACAUCUCCGUCGGCAUCCCUCUGCUGCUUCUCCAGUUUUCUGCCAUCCAAUUUGCUUAGCUUCAAUCCACAUUGACUUAGCUAUUGGUUUCAAUUAGAUGAGGCUAACAUCUCCAUCAUCGGUAUAUAGAGGUAUCUUCACCACGUUCCUUACAGGUUCAAGACAGGUUUCAGGGAAGGUACUGAAGCAGCACCAAGAAAGAAGGUUGCGGCUUCUGCUUAAAAGGUAAAUUGUAAUGGUAUGAGGUUUUGUUUUGGAUGAAGCUAUGUUUAUGAGGAAACAUUUAGUGAUGAAGAGUGAAAUUAUGUUCCAUUGGAUGCUUUAGUUGUUAUUUAGUUUCUAUUUGAAUGUAGCUGUCUUAUAUUUUGAACAAUUAUUGGAGCUAAUGUUUGACCCUUAAUUUCUUCAUUGUCUUUUUUUUAACUUAAUCAAUGUUCUUGUUUCGUUAA